GGUUCAAUGGUCUAAUGGUUAUGAUUUCUGUCUCACAUGCUGCAGUACGUCCAUACUUAGUGGAUUGAUCCGCGCACAGAAGGUUCCCAGUUCGAUCCUGGGUUGAACCA